rnacentral:rRNA from 1 species
UACGGAGGGUGCAAGCGUUGUUCGGAUUUAUUGGGCGUAAAGCGCGUGUAGGCGGUUUCUUAAGUCUGAUGUGAAAGCCCUGGGCUCAACCCAGGAAGUGCAUUGGGUACUGGGAGACUUGAAUACGGGAGAGGGUAGUGGAAUUCCUAGUGUAGGAGUGAAAUCCGUAGAUAUUAGGAGGAACACCGGUGGCGAAGGCGGCUACCUGGACCGAUAUUGACGCUGAGACGCGAAAGCGUGGGGAGCAAACAGG